UAUGGGGAUGGUAAGAAGAGAUAUAUUUUACAUCCCAUAGGGGCUAUAAUUGGAGAUACUAUUGUUUCUGGUACAAACGUUUCUAUAUCAAUGAGAAAUGCCCUACCUUUGAGCGGGGUUUGA
rnacentral:rRNA from 1 species